GCGCAGCAGGCGAGAAUACUUUACAAUGUGCGAAAGCACGAUAAGGGAACUCUGAGUGCCUCCUAAGGAGGCUGUUCAGGUGUCUAAAAGCACCUGAAGGAAGGGCUGGGUAAGACCGGUGCCAGCCGCCGCGGUAACACCGGCAGCCCAAGUGGUAGCCACGUUUAUUGGGUCUAAAGCGUCCGUAGCCGGCUGGGUAAGUUCCUUGGGAAAUUUGGCUGCUUAACAGUCAAGCUUUCAGGGAAUACUGCCCGGCUUGGGGACCGGGAGAGGUCAGAGGUACUCCAGGGGUAGGGUGAAAUCCAUUAAUCCUUGGGGGACCACCGGUAGCGAAGGCGUCUGACCAGACCGGGUCCGACGGUGAGGGACGAAGGCUAGGGGCGCG
rnacentral:rRNA from 1 species